rnacentral:rRNA from 1 species
UACGUAGGGGCCGAGCGUUGUCCGGAGUUAUUGGGCGUAAAGCGCGCGCAGGCGGCCUCGCGCGCCCGACGUGAAAGCCCCCGGCUUAACCGGGGAGGGUCGUUGGGGACGGCGGGGCUUGAGGGCGGGAGAGGGUGGUGGAAUUCCCGGUGUAGUGGUGAAAUGCGUAGAGAUCGGGAGGAACACCCGUGGCGAAGGCGGCCACCUGGGCCGAUCCUGACGCUGAGGCGCGAAGGCGUGGGGAGCGAACGGG